CUAGGAUUUGUCCACGAGUGUUAGGCCUGCUUUCAUAUUCUGAGCUGGAAGAGUUACAUGGAUGUUAAUGCCUUCCCCUGGAUGAGGUUCUCAGCUCUAACUGACCAUUACUGAAGGGAAAGUGAGGAACAAGAGACAGGAAUGGUCAUCUCAGAGGAUGGGAGAUGUCAGCCUCUGGGGUUGUCAGAAGCCCAGAGUUCAGGAGGAGGAGGGGCCCAGGAUGAUGGAUCCUCUUGGAAGUGGCUGGUUACCACAGCAAAGGGAAAGAGAGCUCUGCUGAGCAUUGCACAGAUAGUCAGAGCCUGGAAGUGACACAUGUCACUUUUGCUCACAACUCAUUGGCAGGGCUACUGGCACAUGAGCCUGCUGAUGGCCACAGAUGUACAGUCUUGUCAUGUGCCCAGAUCAGGGAGGGCUGGAAAUAUGUGGUCAGCAGCGCAGGUGGUUAUUACCCAUAAAUAAACAACUUCAGACACUCCUUCAAAGAACUACAGACCUCGGCAUCAUCGUUAUUCCAGCUACUAACAUGAAAAGGCAAAUUCAUAGGAAGCAAUAUCAUAAGAGAAUUCAGAAGUGUUUUCUUCCUCAUUUGCUUUCCUUCUUUAAAAGUCUCCUUUAAAUGGAGCAGGAGAACUAAGCCACUAAAGGCUAAUAUAUUCCAAAUUCUCUCUGGCUGGUGUUUCAGUCAACUAGCCAGCCAGCCAGCCGGCCAGCCAGUCAGCCAGCUAGCUCUUUCUAGAAUCUCAUCACCUUUUUAUUGAGUCAGCUCAUUUUCACCGAGUCAGAAAGAUGUGGAAGUCUUCCAAGGAACUUAAGAAAAACAGAAAUUUAGAUAGAGGGAGCCUGGGGAAGCUUUUCAAAAAUGGGAUAAUAAAAUAAAAUAUUUGAAUAAGCAAUAUUUCAAAAUUAUUCUUGACUCAUCAUUUUAGAGGAGUCGGGAAAGACUUCAUAGCGGAGGUGACAUUUAAGCUGGCACUUUGCUAGGUAGAAAGUGGAGCUGGGCAUUUCAAGCAGAGGGAACAGGUUGUGCAGUGGCAAGGAAACUGUUUGGGCUUGGGAUAUGUGAAGGAGAAUAAGAAAUUCACCGUGGCCAGAGGCUUGUGUGUAUAUCAGGAUUACAUAAAAUACUAACAUAGGACCAAAAAUGUUGUAUUUUUUAUGUCAGCAAGCAGGGAAUGAAAUACCCUACUUUCCAAAGAAAACUUUUAAAUUUAUCUUUAUUUAGUGGUCUAAUGGCAGUCAAGCUGACUUCAAAGAGAAAAGACCAUCUCUGAGUAACUUGCUAUGUGGAAUACAGUAGUGCCUCUUUAUCCAAGAUUUCACUCUCCAUGGUUUUAGUCAGCUGGGUCAAUGGUGGUCUGAAAAUAUUAAAUGGAAAAUUCCAGAAACAAACAAUUCAUAGGUUUUAAACUGAAUGCCUCUGUGUGAUGAAAGCCCUUUCAUUAUAGCACACCGUGCUAUAUAUUUGCUCUAUUUUAUUAUUGUUGUUGUUAAAUUCUUACUGUGCCAAACUUAUAAACUAAAUUUUAUAAUGGGUAUAGAGUUAUGGAAAAUGCAUGGAAAAUAUAGCAUUCAGGGAGGGAUCUUAGAACAUAUCUUCUACAGAUUAGAAGGGGACUGCUAUACUACAGGUAGAUGAGUUUCCAGAAAUAGAAUCUUUCUGGCUUUUAGGCAAUAGUUAAGUCAUAUAUAUUUAAAAAUAUAUCCACAGUAAUUUUCUUUGUGAAAAGCAAGUACUCUACUUGGCUACAAACAAAUUAAGGCAAAGCUCCCAGAUUAAAAACAAAUACUGGGAUCUGUGGUUGUGGCUCAGUGGUAGAGCACUUGCCUUGCAUGUGUG